rnacentral:rRNA from 1 species
GAUGAACGCUGGCGGCGUGCUUAACACAUGCAAGUCGAACGGAAAGGCCCAAGCUUGCUUGGGUCCUCGAGUGGCGAACGGGUGAGUAACACGUGGGUGAUCUGCCCUGCACUUCGGGAUAAGCCUGGGAAACUGGGUCUAAUACCGGAUAGGACCACAUUUUGGAUGGUGUGGUGGAAAGUUUUUCGGUGUGGGAUGAGCUCGCGGCCUAUCAGCUUGUUGGUGGGGUAAUGGCCUACCAAGGCGUCGACGGGUAGCCGGCCUGAGAGGGUGUACGGCCAAAUUGGGACUGAGAUACGGCCCAGACUCCUACGGGAGGCAGCAGUGGGGAAUAUUGAACAAUGGGCGCAAGCCUGAUGCAGCGAAGCCGCGUGGGGGAUGACGGCCUUCGGGUUGUAAACUCCUUUCGCUAGGGACGAAGCGUUAUGUGACGGUACCUGGAGAAGAAGCACCGGCUAACUACGUG